rnacentral:lncRNA from 1 species
UUUCCUAAUCAAGAAGAAAAAAGUUAAAUCAAUUAUGUUAUUUAGUCUACAUACUUGAAAAUGUAAUUAAGUAGUUACCCCUGUGCAAAGUAGACAAGCAAAUAAAUUACUAACAAAUCACACUUGAAACUAAAUUUUAGGUCUAAAGAAUACUGUGACUGUCUAUUUUCCUGGUAAACAUGAGCCAGUCAUAUCUACAUGCUUAAAGCUUGUCACCUUUGGGUUCUGGGACAUACUCCAUUGUAUGUGUAGCUGUUAGGUUUGGGUUUGACUGUGUUUAACAAGAAAGAUAGUGGUUAGAUUUAGGC